rnacentral:rRNA from 1 species
AGCAGCAGCCGCGGUAAAACGAAGGGGGCUAGCGUUGCUCGGAAUGACUGGGCGUAAAGGGCGCGUAGGCGGCGGCCAAAGUCAGGCGUGAAAUUCCCGGGCUCAACCUGGGGGCUGCGUUUGAUACUUGGUUGCUUGAGUGGGGAAGAGGGUCGUGGAAUUCCCAGUGUAGAGGUGAAAUUCGUAGAUAUUGGGAAGAACACCGGUGGCGAAGGCGGCGACCUGGUCCUUUACUGACGCUGAGGCGCGAAAGCGUGGGGAGCAAACAGGAUUAGAUACCCCCGUAGUCCCUGUCUCUUAUAC